AAUAUUGCACAAUGGGCGAAAGCCUGAUGCAGCGACGCCGCGUGAGGGAUGACGGCCNNNGGGUUNUCAACCUCUUUCAGCAGNGACNAAGCGAAAGUGACGGUACCUGCAGAAGAAGCGCCGGCUAACUACGUGCCAGCAGCCGCGGUAAUACGUAGGGCGCAAGCGUUGUCCGGAAUUAUUGGGCGUAAAGAGCUCGUAGGCGGUUUGUCACGUCUGCUGUGAAAACCCGAGGCUCAACCUCGGGCUUGCAGUGGGUACGGGCAGACUAGAGUGCGGUAGGGGAGACUGGAGUUCCUGGUGUAGCGGUAAAAUGCACAGAUAUCAGGAGGAACACCGAUGGCGAAGGCAGGUCUCUGGGCCGCAACUGACGCUGAGGAGCGAAAGCGUGGGUAGCAAACA
rnacentral:rRNA from 1 species